CUCAGGCAGCUUUCUGCAUUCAGCAGGUGAGAUCUGAUCUGAACAUUCUUAUCUAAAAAAAAAAAAAACAGCAUUCGUGUUGUCAAAUCCCUCCAGGUCUCAGAAGACUUUGAAGUCAAGUUUUUACAAGUACAGCCAGAGAAACAGAUGGAAAUCAGAGGGACAGGCCAGUGACCAAGAGGAAAAAGGAGGAGAAGAAGAAGAAGAAGAAGAAGACUGAUUUAAGCGCAGUGCUGAGGUUGUCCAGAGCUUAUGCGGCCCAGAUGGGGAGGAAGGCUAACAUUCCACUGGCCUUUCUCCACUGCUCCGGAUGCCAGCUCUGCUUUUACCCACAAUCCCUUUCACCCUGGGCUGGAUUCCUCAUGUGGGGACACACGUGGACACGCCAGCACGUCCAGAUGUGCGCAGAGGUACCUUUUCCAGCCCACAGUCUACCGGGAAGCAGAACAAAAUGUCCCAGAAGCCACCUCCGGAAUGGCUGCUCCUGGACUGCACCCAGCUCUGUGGCUGAAAUCUUUUAUCAGGGGGACCACAGCACCACAGGAUCCUGAAGAAGGCCUACUAUAAUUGAAGAAUAUAUGCUCUUGUCUGAAUAUGUGAGGAAGCGAUUUAGAUAUUCACCUUCCAAAACAGCUUCUUAGUAUCUGAUUCCUUUAUCAUAAUCGUCAAAAGAUAUCACUGUAAAAUAAUAGUAAAGACUGAUAAAUAAAUCUCCCAGAUUUUUGCUGCCAUUGUUCCUAAUACA